rnacentral:rRNA from 1 species
CGGACGGGUGAGUAACGCGUGGGUAACCUGCCUUAUACAGGGGGAUAACAGUCAGAAAUGGCUGCUAAUACCGCAUAAGCGCACUGAGCUGCAUGGCUCAGUGUGAAAAACUCCGGUGGUAUAAGAUGGACCCGCGUUGGAUUAGCUAGUUGGUGGGGUAACGGCCCACCAAGGCGACGAUCCAUAGCCGGCCUGAGAGGGUGAACGGCCACAUUGGGACUGAGACACGACCCAGACUCCUACGGGAGGCAGCAUG